UGUCACAAUGGUCGAUCACU
rnacentral:miRNA from 1 species